rnacentral:lncRNA from 1 species
ACUACUGGGCCAAAUUAAUCCAAACUUGGCCACAAUCAUCUUUGGGAUAUCUAGUUUAAAAAAUGUGUGGCGUGACCUGGCCAAACAACCAAGAUGGUCGCCAUGGCUAAAAAUAGAACAUAGGGGUAAAAUGCAGUUUUUGGCUUAUAACUCAAAAACCAAAGCAUUUAGAGCAAAUCUGACAUGCGGUAAAAGUGUUUAUCAGGUGAAGAUCUCUCUGUCCUGAAAUUUUCAGAUGAAUCGGACAACCUGUUGUUGGGUUGCUGCCCCUGAAUUGGUAAUUUUAAGGAAAUUUUGCUGUUUUUGGUUAUUAUCUUGAAUAUUAUUAUAGAUAGAGAUAAACUGUAAACAGCAAUAAUGUUCAGCAAAGUAAGAUUUACAAAUAAGUCAGCAUGACCAAAAUGGUCAGUUGACCCCUGAAGGAGUUAUUGCCCUUUAUAGUCAAUUUUUAACCAUUUUUUUGUAAAUCUUAAUCUUUUACAAAAAUCUUCUUCUCUGAAACUACUGGGCCAAAUUAAACUAAACUUGGCCACAAUCAUCAUUGGGGUAACUUGUUUAAAAAAUGUGUGGCGUGACCCGGCCAAUCAAC